rnacentral:lncRNA from 1 species
CAUAUUCAUUCCCUUUUACAGUAACCUUUUGUAUAUGAGAUUGUAGAUGAGAAUUUAAAUCGUGAUAUUGAAUCUUACCAGAGAAUAAAGAAACCGUUUACCUCAACCAGAGUUAUAUUUCAUAGAAUUAUGUAGACCAUGAUCCAAAUAUUGCCAUGGGUAUAAGAUAGAUGUUUGAUUUGCAAACUGGAUUUAAAUCAUAUUUUCUUUAAACAUAUUUAUUAUUAAUAAAUAUGUUUAAAGGAAAUAAAUAAUUUAUUAGAAAAAAAUUAUAUACUUAUUUACUAAACCGUUUUAUUUCAAUCAAUUAUUUGAUUUUUUAUAUUUUUCAAGGAAUUUUUAUAGUAUAUUUUAUUGCACUGUUUUUUUUUUUUGUAUGGUGAAAACUAUGUUCAAUUUACAAACUAUAUUUUAGUUUAUCAAAAUAUAUUUUUAUUGAUGUGUUCUGUCUCUGAUUCUUUCUUUUUCAGAUGUGCACUUGUGUUUUAGGCUUAUGCUUUGCAAAAGGUUCACCAUCGCCCUUAAGUUGCUGUGGGUUUUACGGUUUUACUUUCAACCUGGCAUAUAAAUGCACUUAGUAUCUAAAGUUAUUUGUCAAUAACUGGUGAUCAGACUCUCAAACGAACACGUUUUUAAGGGCUGAGAAGGUGAAAGUUAGAAGUCUGCAGACUGCAACGUAAAUCAAUUUUCAACACAUGGUUUCCUGAAUAUAUUUAGUUUUCGAUUGAAAUGUGAAUAAA